UCCGUAGGUGAACCAGCGGAGGGAUCAUUACUGAGUUACCGCUCUAUAACCCUUUGUGAACGUACCUAACCGUUGCUUCGGCGGGCAGGGGAAGCCUCUCGCGGGCCUCCCCUCCCGGCGCCGGCCCCCACCACGGGGACGGGGCGCCCGCCGGAGGAAACCAAACUCUAUUUACACGACGUCUCUUCUGAGUGGCACAAGCAAAUAAUUAAAACUUUUAACAACGGAUCUCUUGGUUCUGGCAUCGAUGAAGAACGCAGCGAAAUGCGAUAAGUAAUGUGAAUUGCAGAAUUCAGUGAAUCAUCGAAUCUUUGAACGCACAUUGCGCUCGCCAGCAUUCUGGCGAGCAUGCCUGUUCGAGCGUCAUUUCAACCCUCAAGCACCGCUUGGUUUUGGGGCCCCACGGCCGACGUGGGCCCUUAAAGGUAGUGGCGGACCCUCCCGGAGCCUCCUUUGCGUAGUAACUAACGUCUCGCACUGGGAUCCGGAGGGACUCUUGCCGUUAAACCCCCAAAUUCUUUACAGGUUGACCUCGGAUCAGGUAGGAAUACCCG
rnacentral:rRNA from 1 species